rnacentral:ncRNA from 2 species
GUAGCGUCGCGAGCGGCCAGUCGCACCCACGCACGUGGGUCAGGGAAUCCGGUGCGAAUCCGGAACUGACGCGCAGCGGUAAGGGCGACGGCCGGGACAACGCCAGCUCUGACCUGGUGAGCCACUGGACGCCCGCGCGGCGCCCGGGAAGGCGUUCCGGCCGGACGACCCCGAGUCCGAAGACCUGCUGGCCCCGGUUCGCCGAC